CUACGGGUGGCUGCAGUGAGGAAUUUUGCGCAAUGGGGGAAACCCUGACGCAGCAACGCCGCGUGAGUGAUGAAGGCUUUCGGGUCGUAAAGCUCUGUCAAGUGGGAAGAACAUACAUAAGGCCAAUACCUUUAUGUACUGACGGUACCACUGAAGGAAGCACCGGCUAACUCCGUGCCAGCAGCCGCGGUAAUACGGGGGGUGCAAGCGUUAUUCGGAAUCAUUGGGCGUAAAGAGCACGUAGGCGGUUAUCUAAGUCAGAUGUGAAAGCCCGGGGCUUAACCCCGGAAGUGCAUUUGAUACUGGGAAACUUGAGUAUGGGAGAGGGAAGUGGAAUUCCUGGUGUAGAGGUGAGAUUCGUAGAUAUCAGGAGGAACACCGGUGGCGAAGGCGACUUCCUGGACCAAUACUGACGCUGAGGUGCGAAGGCGUGGGGAGCAAACAGGAUUAGAUACCCGAGUAGUC
rnacentral:rRNA from 1 species